UGGCUCAGAUUGAACGCUGGCGGCAUGCCUUACACAUGCAAGUCGAACGGCAGCAUGAUCUAGCUUGCUAGAUUGAUGGCGAGUGGCGAACGGGUGAGUAAUACAUCGGAACGUGCCCUGUAGUGGGGGAUAACUAGUCGAAAGAUUAGCUAAUACCGCAUACGACCUGAGGGUGAAAGUGGGGGACCGCAAGGCCUCAUGCUAUAGGAGCGGCCGAUGUCUGAUUAGCUAGUUGGUGAGGUAAAGGCUCACCAAGGCGACGAUCAGUAGCUGGUCUGAGAGGACGAUCAGCCACACUGGGACUGAGACACGGCCCAGACUCCUACGGGAGGCAGCAGUGGGGAAUUUUGGACAAUGGGGGCAACCCUGAUCCAGCAAUGCCGCGUGUGUGAAGAAGGCCUUCGGGUUGUAAAGCACUUUUGUCCGGAAAGAAAUCGCACUUACUAAUAUUAGGUGUGGAUGACGGUACCGGAAGAAUAAGGACCGGCUAACUACGUGCCAGCAGCCGCGGUAAUACGUAUGGUCCAAGCGUUAAUCGGAAUUACUGGGCGUAAAGCGUGCGCAGCGGUUGUGCAAGACCGAUGUGAAAUCCCCGGGCUUAACCUGGGAAUUGCAUUGGUGACUGCACGGCUAGAGUGUGUCAGAGGGGGGUAGAAUUCCACGUGUAGCAGUGAAUUGCGUAGAGAUGUGGAGGAUACCGAUGGCNAAGGCNNCCCCNNGGGAUAANNCUGNNNCUCAUGCACGAAAGCGUGGGGAGCAACAGGAUUAGAUACCCUGGUAGUCCACGCCCUAAACGAUGUCAACUAGUUGUUUGGGGAUUCAUUUCCUUAGUAACGUAGCUAACGCGUGAAGUUGACCGCCUGGGGAGUACGGUCGCAAGAUUAAAAACUCAAAGGAAUUGACGGGGACCCGCACAAGCGGUGGAUGAUGUGGAUUAAUUCGAUGCAACGCGAAAAACCUUACCUACCCUUGACAUGCCACUAACGAAGCAGAGAUGCAUUAGGUGCUCGAAAGAGAAAGUGGACACAGGUGCUGCAUGGCUGUCGUCAGCUCGUGUUGUGAGAUGUUGGGUUAAGUCCCGCAACGAGCGCAACCCUUGUCUCUAGUUGCUACGAAAGGGCACUCUAGAGAGACUGCCGGUGACAAACCGGAGGAAGGUGGGGAUGACGUCAAGUCCUCAUGGCCCUUAUGGGUAGGGCUUCACACGUCAUACAAUGGUGCAUACAGAGGGUUGCCAAGCCGCGAGGUGGAGCUAAUCCCAGAAAAUGCAUCGUAGUCCGGAUCGUAGUCUGCAACUCGACUACGUGAAGCUGGAAUCGCUAGUAAUCGCGGAUCAGCAUGCCGCGGUGAAUACGUUCCCGGGUCUUGUACACACCGCCCGUCACACCAUGGGAGUGGGUUUUGCCAGAAGUAGUUAGCCUAACCGCAAGGGGGGC
rnacentral:rRNA from 1 species